GGUUCAUCCUGGAUAGCUCCGUUGGUUAGAGCAUGGCACUGAUAAUGACAAGAUUGCAAGUUUGAUCCCCGUAUGGAACA
rnacentral:tRNA from 1 species